UACGAAGGGUGCAAGCGUUACUCGGAAUUACUGGGCGUAAAGGGUGCGUAGGUGGUCGUUUAAGUCCGGGGUGAAAGGUCCAGCGCUCAACGCGGACAGUGCCCUGGAGACUGGGGGGCUUGAGUGUGGCGGGGGGGACCGGAAUUCCUGGUGUAGCGGUGAAAUGCGUAGAUAUCAGGAGGAACACCGGUGGCGAAGGCGGGUCUCUGGGCAACAACUGACGCUGAGGAGCGAAAGCGUGGGGAGCGAACAGG
rnacentral:rRNA from 1 species